AUUGAACGCUGGCGGCGUGCCUAAUACAUGCAAGUCGAGCGAAGCGGCGGAUGGGUGUGUAACGCGUGGGUAACCUGCUCUUAAGUCUGGGAUUCCUUUCGGAUACAGAUGCUAAUACCGGAUAUAAAAGGAUGGAUAUGCGAUGCAUUAGCUAGUUGGUAAGGUAACGGCUUACCAAGGCGAUGAUGCAGAGCCGGGUUGAGAGACUGAUCGGCCACAUGGGAACUGAGACACGGCCCAGACUCCUACGGGAGGCAGCAGUAGGGAAUCUUCCACAAUGGACGAAAGUCUGAUGGAGCAACGCCGCGUGUGUGAAGAAGGUUUUCGGAUCGUAAAGCUCUGUUGUUGGUGAAGCGUUAACCAACCAGAAAGCCACGGCUAACUACGUGCCAGCAGCCGCGGUAAUUC
rnacentral:rRNA from 1 species